UACGAGUGCCCCGAGCGUUCUCCGGAAUCAUUGGGCGUAAAGGGUGUGUAGGUGGUAGUGUUAGUCGAUUGUUAAAACCUGGGGCUCAACCCCAGAUCCGCGAUCGAAACGGCACAACUAGAGGAUGGCAGGGAUGUAUGGAACUCAUGGAGUAGGGGUGAAAUCCGUUGAUAUCAUGGGGAACACCAAAAGCGAAGGCAGUACAUUGGGCCACUCCUGACACUGAACCACGAAAGCGUGGGUAGCGAAUGGG
rnacentral:rRNA from 1 species